AUUGAACGCUGGCGGCAUGCCUUACACAUGCAAGUCGAACGGUAACAGGUCUUCGGAUGCUGACGAGUGGCGAACGGGUGAGUAAUACAUCGGAACGUGCCCGAUCGUGGGGGAUAACGAAGCGAAAGCUUUGCUAAUACCGCAUAAGAUCUACGGAUGAAAGCAGGGGACCGCAAGGCCUUGCGCGAACGGAGCGGCCGAUGGCAGAUUAGGUAGUUGGUGGGAUAAAAGCUUACCAAGCCGACGAUCUGUAGCUGGUCUGAGAGGACGACCAGCCACACUGGGACUGAGACACGGCCCAGACUCCUACGGGAGGCAGCAGUGGGGAAUUUUGGACAAUGGGCGAAAGCCUGAUCCAGCCAUGCCGCGUGCAGGAUGAAGGCCUUCGGGUUGUAAACUGCUUUUGUACGGAACGAAAAGACUCUGGUUAAUACCUGGGGUCCAUGACGGUACCGUAAGAAUAAGCACCGGCUAACUACG
rnacentral:rRNA from 1 species